AGAACGAACGCUGGCGGCAGGCUUAACACAUGCAAGUCGAACGGUUGUAGCAAUACAGCAGUGGCGCACGGGUGAGUAACGCGUGGGAACAUCCCUUUCAGUUCGGAAUAACCUCGGGAAACUGAGGCUAAUACCGGAUAUUCUCUUCGGAGGAAAGAUUUAUCGCUGAAAGAUUGGCCCGCGUCAGAUUAGCUAGUUGGUGGGGUAAUGGCCUACCAAGGCUCCGAUCUGUAGCUGGUCUGAGAGGACGACCAGCCACACUGGAACUGAGACACGGUCCAGACUCCUACGGGAGGCAGCAGUGGGGAAUAUUGGACAAUGGGCGAAAGCCUGAUCCAGCCAUGCCGCGUGAAUGAUGAAGGCCUUAGGGUUGUAAAGUUCUUUGCCAGGGAAGAUAAUGACGGUACCUGGAGAAUAAGCACCGGCUAACUUCGUGCCAGCAGCCGC
rnacentral:rRNA from 1 species